UUGUAACGAAGGUGGUAAUGCUGGAUGCUCCAACUUGACGCAUGUCUUGUUGGGAAAGUGUUUAGUGGCAUGGGAUGGGGUCGCGUCCUAUCAGCUUGUAGGCGGGGUAAUGGCCCACCUAGGCUUCGACGGGUAGCCGGCCUGAGAGGGCGGACGGCCACAUUGGGACUGAGAUACGGCCCAGACUCCUACGGGAGGCAGCAG
rnacentral:rRNA from 1 species